CAUAUCCCAAACCAUCACCAUAGCAACUGACUAAGUGCCAUGGACUUUCUGUAAAUGUAUGUCCUCUAGGUUACCAUCACCAGCACAUGAGAGAAUUCUCCUCUUCACCAGCUCAUUGACUCCUCUGCCUGAAACCAUCCCCUCCUGAUUGGUGAUUACCUUCCCAGUUCCAUGAUUUUAUGAGAGACCUCAGCUGUGGCAAACAAGCUAAGCCAGUUGGUCAGCUCCUGUCAGGUA
rnacentral:lncRNA from 1 species